CUAGUUUCACUAGCAAUUUUCUGUUAGUUUUAGUUGUUUUAUGCAUUUUCUUGAGCUUAAAGUAACCAAAAAUGGUUAAAUGAAGAACAAAGCAAUAAAUCAUUCAACAUGUAGAUUUUUAUGCAAAUUCCAUGAGUUUUUAGUUAUAUUAUUUGAAUGCUAUGAAUGGAAGAUUUCUCAUGAAACUUUGCAAGACUUUGAUGCAAUUGUUUGGAUGAUUUCAGGGAAGAAGAGGCUAAGCAAGGAAGCAAGAAAAUCAAUAAAGGAAGCUUGAAUAUCACAUGUGGAGUUUAAGUUCCAGUUUAAGCUUAAACUGGAGCUUAAACGCCAAAAUCAUGAAGAAUAAGAAAUGCUGGGAUUGAAGUUUAACCUCCAGUUUGACCUCAAACUGGAGGUUAAACGCCAGAAUGAUAGGCCUCACUUAAGGAGCAUUCCACGUUUAACCUCCAGUUUGAGUCAAACUGGAGGUUAAACGCCAGAAUGAGUAUGACACCAGGGAGGAGUUCCACGUUUAACCUCCAGUUUGACCUCAAACUGGAGGUUAAACGCCAGAACCAGGAAGAGUACCAGGGGCCAUUCCACGUUUAAGCUCCAGUUUGACUCAAACUGGAGCUUAAACGUGUUCGACGUUUUCUUUCACUCCAGGGUUGCUCUCUCCACCUCCACGUUUAACCUCCAGUUUGACCCCAAACUGGAGGUUAAACGUGUUCGACACCUCCAGGGCCACCAUUCUAAGCUUCCACGUUUAACCUCCAGUUUGACCUCAAACUGGAGGUUAAACGUGUUCGACCUCCAAAUUUGGAUCAACAACCUCAUCAACAUUAUGGAUCAUAAACCCAAGGCAAAAGGAAAGCAAGGAGAGGCCUCAAA